AGGCGAGCUAGGCCAAAGGUGGGGGAGCACCACGAUCCAGGGGACGAAAAGGGAGUUCUGCUGCUUAGCAGAGUGCGUGUGCGUGUGCGUGUCGCGGAGGACAUGCACACUUCAGGCAUUCGUCGGCUUGGCAAGGUGCGCGUGCGUGUCGCGGAGGACAUACACCCCCGGCGUGUUCUGCAGCGUGACGGAGUUCGCGUGUGUCGCGGAGGACAUACGCACCUGGCGUUCUGCAGCGUUGGCGAAGAGCGCGUGCGUGUCGCGGAGGACAUGCACACCCAGAGGAGUUAUAAGGUUGGCUACUGGACUCAGGGAACUUUGGUUAUGUCAGGGCGAAGUAGGCGCGCAGGCCGAGUAGCUUUGAUGGCGAGGACCAAGUUUUGGUGGAGUGGCAGUGCGAUCUUGCAGUCCGAUGGGAUUUGAGUUCUGGUUCCGCAAAGGAGUUAGUGUGGUGCGAGCGAGGCGCCAAGGCUGAAAAGCUCUGACUCAGGGUGGAACAGGAUUCGUGUGUGAGGCGUUUCGUCGCGGAGGACGAUGGGCUUUACAGAAGCGUUGUUGAGUGGACGAACUCGAAGGCAGGUCAGUGUGGCUUGAGAGGCCAAGGCCGUGGGUGGCUCUGAUCAGAGGUCUGGGAGUGGUUCUGCUGACAACGAAGUUGGAGCAUCGACGAGGGCGUCGAUGGUUCAAGUGGGGGAGGAUGUCACGGGUCGAUCGUUGGGACUCGACCGUGACGCUAUUGAGGGCCAUAUUUGGUAGUCAUUGAGUUGAUGAAGCUAUGGAGUUGCGGAGUUGAAGAGUUCCGUCAG
rnacentral:lncRNA from 1 species